UCUACCUUCAACUGACAAACGUUUGCUUUCAGAUCUAGGGGGAUCAUGCAUAAACAAAAUGCCUUUAUACUCAAUCUUAUCAUGGGAUGCACUGUUAUACUCACCGAAGCUACAUCAUUCUUACGAUCAGGGAAGAAUGCCUGGUUGGUUCCGAAAUGCAGAACACUGUUGUCUCCUCCACCACCUCCCCCCUUUCCUCCAGCAACACAGACGUCCGCCCUUCUCGUAAGGGACCUUCCAAGCAGCACAUACACUGUAAAUGAAUACAGUCUUAAUUGCUUAACAUGCAAGUUAGAUGUCUGUCAUAUCUUCUUGCUGACUGUUGUUUUAGGUUGAUGUAAAUGAACUUCUCAAAGGACUUAAGGGUGAAAAGGUAGGACACUCUUCAUUUCUGUUCACUUGACGAUGAGGAUAAAAUGCUUUUAUUCAGUUAUUAAUUUAUGCUUUCUCUUAAAAGGGCUGCAAAGGACCAAAGGGGCAGAUGGUGAGAGUUCUGUACAUUUGAAUGAAUAAGAAUUAACUGUAGGUUUUAUGAUUUAUUUUUAUGAAGAUCUGAGGUUUAUGGUCACAGACAGUGGACUGGGAUGUUGCAGAGGCAAUAAAUUCAAAAAUAUUUUAAAUAUACUAUAGAAGUGGCGGUUCUUUAUUUAAGUACUUACCAACAUGAGAAACAUUGUUCUCCAGAGAUUCAACAGGCUACCUACCCACAUCCAGACCCUCAAGAAAUUGAAUAUGAGUAAAUAUAUGUAUGUACAAGUAUUAUAUUAUUAUAGGUUUAACUGUAUCAAACUGUUUUAACUAAUAUAAACAUGUUGUUUGAUUUAUUUAUUUAAUUAUCUAUUCAUACAUAAAUAAAACUGUUUUGCAGGGUCGACCAGGUCGAAAAGGAAUAGAGGGAAGCCAAGGUCCUCCUGGUGAGAUGGGGCCUAUAGGCCAAAAGGUUAGUGAUAGAAUAUUGGGUUCACCUUCAGAUAAAACUGUCUCAGAUCACGCAGAUCACUUUGGACAGGGAAACACAUGCUGACACUUCCACAAGUGUCAUUUAUCUCACAUCAUGGCUAACGUCAAUGCACAUUC
rnacentral:lncRNA from 1 species